UACGAAGGGGGACUAGCGUUGUUCGGAAUCACUGGGCGUAAAGCGCACGUAGGCGGAUUCGUAAGUCAGGGGUGAAAUCCCGGGGCUCCGAACCCCGGAACACUGCAUUCGAUACUGCCUUGCUAGAGUACUGGAGAGGAGAUUGGAAUUUACGGUGUAGCAGUGAAAUGCGUAGAUAUCGUAAGGAAGACCAGUGGCGAAGGCGGAUCUCUGGACAGUUACUGACACUGAGGCAGCGAAGGCCAGGGGAGCAAACGGG
rnacentral:rRNA from 1 species